CUAAGUAUCCAUCAACCAGAGUGAUUAUUGAUUGUACAGAACUUUUCAUUCAAUCAUCAAGUAGCCUAAUAAAUCAAAGCCUAACAUUUUCUAACUACAAGCAUCAUACUACUGUUAAAUUUCUAGUCGGUAUUAGUCCAUCUGGAGUAAUUACUUUUGUUUCUGAUGCAUGGCCAGGAAAAACUUCAGACCGUCAGCUAACUGAGGAAUGUGGCCUACUUCAGUUACUUGAGCCUAGUGACAGUGUAAUGGCAGACAAAGGCUUCACCAUAGCUGACUUACUUGAAAAAAGACAAUGUUCCUUAAACAUUCCACCAUUCCGAGGCACUUCUAACCAGUUUUCAACAGAUGAAGUCUUCAAGACCCAGGAGAUUGCCCAACUUCGGAUUCAUGUUGAAAGGAGCAUUGGGCGUGUGAAGAACUUUCAUGUCUUAGAAGGAGUGAUCCCCCUUACAAUGGUCCACUUCAUCACGAAGAUUUUCCAAGUCUGCUGUUGGCUGACCAAUCUGGAUUAUCCGCUUGUUGAUGGGAAAAAGAUUUCCACUGAUGAAUCAUAACUCUCUAAGUACAAUGGGUGCACAGAUGUCUCAACUUCCACUUCAACUUCCACAGAACUAGGUACAUUGGAGUCUGGAAUAUUCCAGAGAUGAGCCAUACCUAGACAACAAAGAUUUUAUUAUUGAAUCACUGCAUAAAAUGCUAAAUACUUUACUCCUCUAAUCAUUUAUUUAAUUUUAAGAUAUAUUAUACAUCUUUUACCUAUUCAAAAAUUAUUUAAAAUUAUAUUUGUAUCUUUUAAUGUAUUUACCUCAUAAUAUUAUA